CCCCCCACCCAGCUGCAGUCGCCCUGCGACGUCGCACCCUCACGCCCCCAGCAGCCGCCUCCCAGCCUCUUCGCCUCCUCGGCGUUCGAUCCUCGAGUCCCAUCUAUUCAUCUUCAGUUUUUUGAAACACUGAAGAAAAGUGGUAUACAGCAGCUGGAUCAAUCUGCUCGGCCAGCAAGUAGCUUCUCCUCCAUACAAGCACAUCCCUAGAUUGAUCUGCUCUAGGAUUAACUACUUUGAUUUCGUCUUGGGUUUAUUACUAGAUUAAGUAAUCCACGACCAUUUUACCCAGGUUGUUGAACUAUUAUGGGGAAAUUUCUUCGACGGUAAUACGUAACAAUACAAUCCUUUUUCCCCUAACUAUACAAUUUCUAUUAUUAUGCUCCUUUGUUUUCCAUAUUUAUUUGUCAUAUUGUGAUUAUUCUGGUUACCUUGCAUCUAUCAAGCACCUUUGUAUUUUAAGGUUUUAGUAUUCUAUUAUGUUACAUGGAAAGUUUAGUAGUACACUUGCUGCACUGAAUCCCUACAGAUAAUUCCUAUCACUGAACAAUGUUUAGUGAAUCAAUAAUUCCUAUCACUGAAUGACAUUUAGUGAUUCAAAUGACAUUUAGUGAUUCAAUGAUUUUAUAUGUAUCUUGCAUACUUGGGGUACUAAAUGAUAAGAUGAAAUAUAACUGUAGAUAAUUCCCAACUUAUCAAAAGUUUGGUGAUCCUUUAGUCAGCCCUGUAAGCAUGUUUCAGUGAAGCCAUGGCUCAGAUGGAGAUUCUUUUUAUCAUGUGCAACACGAUGAUUCUUCAGGCUUUGGCAAUUCUUUCAGUAACCAUCAAUGAUAUACAGAUAAUGGUGAGUUUUUGAUCAAGUUUCCAAAAAGACGCGAAUAUUAGGGAAGAACCUAAUAUUUGGAAUGGGUGAGGCUUCGAACCCAGGUCGUCUAGCCCACCACCUUGUGGAGCUAGCUAGAAGAUCCUUGGUCGUUUCUCAUCACACUGUUUCCCCCAAACUACAAAAGCAAGCUGUUCAACAACGAUGUGCUUCUAAAAACUAAAGUUGUUGAAGUGGCUGACGCCACGCCGGCACUGAUGCUGAGAGGUGGGAAAGGGGACUUGAGUGUGGCUAUGGAUGGUGCAGGAGAGAUCACAAUCGGCAGCCUCUCCUCCCUGAUCACGUAUUGUAGUCCCGGCUUCCUGCCACCACGAGAUCGUCGAAGCCGCGCCGUCAAUAGUGGAAUCAGCCAUUAAUCGGUGCUAAAAGCCAAGACACCUCUGAAUUUAUUUAAUCAUCAAUUAAAAUAUUAUUACAUGUCUCCCGUAAUAUUGGGAAGAACGACAGACCAAAUCAAUCACUCGUAAGUUAUAAACUUCAACAAAAGGAAACAACUUAAAAAUUGAAAGGAAUAAAUAGGACAAUGUAAUGCAGGGUUGGCCAUUGGGUGAGAACCAUUAAUAAUGUCGUCGCUCAGUCAUGGAUGAAGGAAUAGAUGGGGAGGUACUACAUAAUCAUGCUUGUUUCAUUGUUUGAAUAUAAGCGACGACUUUAUCAAAGAAUACCUCGGCCUCCAUAGCAUCAGCUUCGCAACUUAAUAGGGUAAACCCCUAGUCGUGUGCUUGAGGAUUGGGUAGUCAAGCUUCCGUUGUUCUCUGAUAUAGCUAUAUUUGGCUGGUCGGCCCAUGUAUCUAUUAAGUAGUUUAAUCUGAAUUUUAUUUGCUUUAGAUGUAUUUUGCUAUGUAUAUUCAUGCUUAAGAUGAAAGUGUGAAUCUAGUGCACAUCCUGGGAGCUAGAUUCAUGUGAGUAUGAGUUAAAGAAUAUUUGAGAUGUUGUAGAUCUUUAGCCA